rnacentral:pre_miRNA from 2 species
GAGUGUCAUGUUGGCACUCAAAAAAGUUUCAGAUUUUAGAGCAUUUUGGAUUUUGGAUUUUUGGAUUAGGGAUACUC